AUUGUUUCAAUUAUUUUACCAUAAUAUGACAUAUAUAUUAUUGACAAAGCAACACUAUCAAGUGAAUUCAGCUCAGAAUCAAUUGUUUGUUAGCAAUGGUUUAUCGUUGCUUACAAAAAACGCAAUUUCCCACCUUUGCGCCUUUCUAUGACGACAACAAUGAUUGUUAAAAAAUUGUAAAAUAAUAAAAACCAAAUAAAAACGGUUGCCAAUGACAACUUUAUUUUAAAUUAUUAAUAAAAAUUUCAAAAAAUUACCUCUUCAAAGUACAACCCAGAGAACCCAUUCUUUUCAGAAUGUGCUAUACUU